AGAGUUUGAUCAUGGCUCAGGAUGAACGCUAGCUACAGGCUUAACACAUGCAAGUCGAGGGGCAGCAUGGUCUUAGCUUGCUAAGGCCGAUGGCGACCGGCGCACGGGUGAGUAACGCGUAUCCAACCUGCCUUACACUCUUGGACAGCCUUCUGAAAGGGAGAUUAAUACAAGAUGUUAUCAUGAGUAAGCAUUUUCGCAUGAUUAAAGGUUUACCGGUGUAAGAUGGGGAUGCGUUCAUUAGAUAGUAGGCGGGGUAACGCCCACUAGUCUUCGAUGGAUAGGGGUUCUGAGAGGAAGGUCCCCCANAUUGGAACUGAGACACGGUCCAAACUCUACGGGAGCA
rnacentral:rRNA from 1 species